rnacentral:lncRNA from 1 species
GCUUGAUGAAGUGUAUGUUUUUAGGACACUCCCUCUGGUUGUGGGCAGAGUGUAGGUGCCAGCAAGGCAGUUAUUGCCAGGAUGACCAGACGUUCUUGCCUGGAGCUGUCUGGAGAUUGUUACGCCCCUGGGUUCUGGGGAGACCUUUGGGAUGGACCAGGGGCCUCCCCACUCCCUACAGGCAUCGUGUUCUACCCACCAAGAACCUACCGGGCAACGACGACAGGGAGGACACAAUUCCUGGGACAUGGCGCCAACAGUAGGGAACGAGGCCUCCCUCUCCCAUCUCCAGACCAGGAGGGGAACCCUGGAAAGGCAGCAUUGCUAACCCUUGUGGAGAGAGCCCUGACGGAGCAAGAGCCUGUCUCAGAAGACAAACCAACCAACAAACAAAAGCCAACACGGGAGAAGGGGGCAGGAUGCGGGCUUCCUACUUCUCUCUACCCUUAGUGAGUAUGCAUUUUGCUAAGGAUCAAGUAUUGGUGCCCUCCAUGGACACCACAAGAAAGGGAGCGACUCCUGCAGGCUUCUUUGUGUAGCUCUGGGGUCUAGAAGGACUGAUUCUGGCCAGAAACAACAAGACCUCUUUCUUGGGCAUGAGGCUGGGGUGGGGGCUCCUCUAAGCCUCUUAAGAGGUACCUGGGGCCAGGC